UGGCGGCAUGCCUAACACAUGCAAGUCGAACGCUUUUGGGGGUUUCGGCCUCCAGGRAGAGUGGCGCACGGGUGAGUAGCGCGUGGGAACCUGCCCCUUUGUGGGGGAUAACCGAGGGAAACUUCGGCUAAUACCGCAUGCGCCCGGGAAACCGGGGAAAGAUUUAUCGCAGAGGGAGGGGCCCGCGUCGGAUUAGCUAGUUGGUGGGGCAACGGCCUACCAAGGCGAUGAUCCGUAGCUGGUCUGAGAGGAUGAUCAGCCACACUGGGACUGAGACACGGCCCAGACUCCUACGGGAGGCAGCAGUGGGGAAUAUUGGACAAUGGGCGCAAGCCUGAUCCAGCAAUGCCGCGUGAGUGAUGAAGGCCUUAGGGUUGUAAAGCUCUUUCGGCGGGGACGAUGAUGACGGUACCCGCAGAAGAAGCCCCGGCUAACUUCGUGCCAGCAGCCGCGGUAAUACGAAGGGGGCGAGCGUUGUUCGGAUUUACUGGGCGUAAAGGGCGCGUAGGCGGCCUUCAAG
rnacentral:rRNA from 1 species